rnacentral:rRNA from 1 species
UUUGAUAGCCCGUUACCCCCGCUAUCCGCCCGGGUACUACGAGCACUAGCUUAAAACCCAAAGGACUUGGCGGUGCUUUAGAUCCACCUAGAGGAGCCUGUUCUAGAACCGAUAACCCCCGUUAAACCUCACCCUCCCUUGUUCUUUCCGCCUAUAUACCGCCGUCGUCAGCUUACCCUGUGAAGGAGCUACAGUAAGCAAAACUAGUACAACUCAAAACGCCAGGUCGAGGUGUAGCAUAUGAGAGGGGAAGAAAUGGGCUACAUUCCCUGCCGCAGGGAACACGAACAAUGUAAUGAAACGUACAUUAAAAGGAGGAUUUAGCAGUAAGCARAAAAUAGAGCG